rnacentral:rRNA from 1 species
AYAAGGGAAWUCCCCUAGUAGCGGCGAGCGAAGCGGGAAGAGCUCAAAUUUAUAAUCUGGCACCUUCGGKGUCCGAGUUGUAAUCUCUAGAAAUGUUUUCCGCGUUGGACCGCACACAAGUCUGUUGGAAUACAGCGGCAUAGUGGUGAGACCCCCGUAUAUGGUGCGGACGCCCAGCGCUUUGUGAUACAUUUUCGAAGAGUCGAGUUGUUUGGGAAUGCAGCUCAAAUUGGGUGGUAAAUUCCAUCUAAAGCUAAAUAUUGGCGAGAGACCGAUAGCGAACAAGUACCGUGAGGGAAAGAUGAAAAGCACUUUGGAAAGAGAGUUAACAGUACGUGAAAUUGUUGGAAGGGAAACGCUUGAAGUCAGACUUGCUUGCCGAGCAAUCGGUUUGCAGGCCAGCAUCAGUUUUCCGGGAUGGAUAAUGGUAGAGAGAAGGUAGCAGUUUCGGCUGUGUUAUAGCUCUCUGCUGGAUACAUCUUGGGGGACUGAGGAACGCAGUGUGCCUUUUGGCGGGGGUUUCGACCUCUUCACACUUAGGAUGCUGGUGGAAUGGCUUUAAACGACCCGUCUUGAAACACGGACA